rnacentral:rRNA from 1 species
UUAAAUUGAAGAGUUUGAUCAUGGCUCAGAUUGAACGCUGGCGGCAGGCUUAACACAUGCAAGUCGAACGGUAACAUGAGUGCUUGCACUUGAUGACGAGUGGCGGACGGGUGAGUAAAGUAUGGGGAUCUGCCGAAUGGAGGGGGACAACAGUUGGAAACGACUGCUAAUACCGCAUAAAGUUGAGAGACCAAAGCAUGGGACUUUCGGGCCAUGCGCCAUUUGAUGAACCCAUAUGGGAUUAGCUAGUUGGUAGGGUAAUGGCUUACCAAGGCGACGAUCUCUAGCUGGUCUGAGAGGAUGACCAGCCACACUGGAACUGAGACACGGUCCAGACUCCUACGGGAGGCAGCAGUGGGGAAUAUUGCACAAUGGGGGGAACCCUGAUGCAGCCAUGCCGCGUGUAUGAAGAAGGCCUUCGGGUUGUAAAGUACUUUCGGUAAUGAGGAAGGUAGCGUAUCUAAUAGGUGCGUUAAUUGACGUUAAUUACAGAAGAAGCACCGGCUAACUCCGUGCCAGCAGCCGCGGUAAUACGGAGGGUGCGAGCGUUAAUCGGAAUGACUGGGCGUAAAGGGCAUGUAGGCGGAUAAUUAAGUUAGGUGUGAAAGCCCUGGGCUCAACCUAGGAAUUGCACUUAAAACUGGUUAACUAGAGUAUUGUAGAGGAAGGUAGAAUUCCACGUGUAGCGGUGAAAUGCGUAGAGAUGUGGAGGAAUACCGGUGGCGAAGGCGGCCUUCUGGACAGAUACUGACGCUGAGAUGCGAAAGCGUGGGGAGCAAACAGGAUUAGAUACCCUGGUAGUCCACGCUGUAAACGAUGUCGAUUUGGAGUUUGUUGCCCUGAGUGAUGGGCUCCGAAGCUAACGCGAUAAAUCGACCGCCUGGGGAGUACGGCCGCAAGGUUAAAACUCAAAUGAAUUGACGGGGGCCCGCACAAGCGGUGGAGCAUGUGGUUUAAUUCGAUGCAACGCGAAGAACCUUACCUGGUCUUGACAUCCACAGAAUCUUGCAGAGAUGCGAGAGUGCCUUCGGGAACUGUGAGACAGGUGCUGCAUGGCUGUCGUCAGCUCGUGUUG